rnacentral:hammerhead_ribozyme from 1 species
AUCCAUCCGACGAGUUUCAAAUAGGACGAAACGCGCGUCAAACUGGAU